GCUUCUGUCUCAGCUGGAGACCGGAUAGAGAGCAUGUACUUAGGGAAGGUUGCUAUCAAUACAAGAUAAGGACCCAAGAUGCUAUUUCACAAGGAAUAUGAAGAAUUCUUGUGUAAAUGGGAAACGUGUCUCUGAGUCUGUCAAAAGCUAAAGGCCAUAGCAGAGUUGUAUACACAGGAAGGUACCCGGUGGGCCUCUUUAAGCCUGAUACCCAAGGUACUCCACCCAUGACACCUUUGUUCUCUUGUAUCCUCAGAUCCAGACAGCAAGGAGGGAGAUGAGGCCGUGGAUGGGUCUGUAGAUCCCUCCUGCUAUUUCUCAUAUCAACACUAGGGGGCACCCUUCCUUCCCUCCAGCUCUACCUGGCGGAGACAGAGCUUCCUUAUCACAGCAGCUAUUUGUUCAAGGGAAGAUUAUGUUUCUGGAGGGCUCCGGGUUUCUGCUGAGGGGUUCUUCUGUGCACGUGCAGGAUUUAAACACAGGGUUCUGCUUGGAACAGCAAACACCAACCGCGACCAGCCUCACGCCAGCCAUUCCGUUCCACUCCUGGGUACCAAUUAGUAUCAUUUGCACAGCUUCCAUCACUUCGGCUGACACUGUUAGUGAGCUAUUGCAGCUGUCUCCAGGACAAACAAGCUCACGCAAGCCCCUAACUAUCAUGAAGAAGAGAAACUUCAGUUUGAGUGGAAAUUAAAUUGCUCAAGAAUUUUGAUAAAGAGGUGUGUUCUCCAAGUAAUAGAAAAUCUUUUCUACAAACAAUCAACAAUGGAUUAAAUUUCAUGGUUCAAGAGGUCUUUUGGAGAGGAAUUUUCAGAAAAGAUCCAGGAAUAAUGGCCGCAGUGAAGCCCUCACUUAAAUGCACUCCAAAGACACAGGGACAUAUGCUCUCCUCCCCAGUCCCUGGCUGGAUCUGAAAAAGGAGGAAAAAGUAAUUAAGCCAUUCUCUCUAAAUUGAGAGAAAACCUGAUUUAGAAUGGCAUAGAACAUACAGAUAUUCUUCGCUGAUACUCAAGAAAAUGAUUGCGAGGAAUUAGUGACUGCCGACCACAGUUUUCAAGUUUGAGGAAUCUACUGACUUCAUGUUAAAAGAGAUGGUGAGACAUGGCGCUGCAUGGAUGAAACUCCAGCAUUCAGGAGCUUGAGGCAGGGGAUGGAUGCCCAGGACCAAAUGGAGGACCCUUCAGACAGGAGCCUGGGUCCUUCAUGAUUGUGUGGAGCACUGUUCCUUGUCCCACAUCCAGAGAAUACCUGGUCCCACUUUUAGAGUUAAUGGAGUGCUCCUGGUCUGAGUCUAACGUUGUAGAAAGAUUAAGGGCAGACCUCUGGCUAAUGAAGACCCAUACUGUAGACAGAGGGUCGAAUCCCUUGUCCACGUGUCCGGUUCUGUGAUGAUCUUCAAAUUUGCCAUAUUGUGGAAUAGCAUACAGGUGUAAAUGCCAGCAUCCAGAAGAAGGCUGUGCUCCCAGAGGGGGUGUUGCUGAAGCUGGCAGGUUUGUCCUUGAAUCUCCUGCAUCCCGUUUCAGAACUCCAUCCUUGGGGUGCUACCUAAGUAGUAGCCACAGCUUGUUCUCCAUCUCUAAAAGCUGCAGGCUCUGAUGAGCUUUGCUAGUUUCUAUGACAGGAAGACAUAGGACAAGAUGACAUGGAUAUGUCAGAACCUAUUAGCGACAGAACCGGGCAAUCAUGACUGGUUCUGUAAGAUCACUCUUUGCUAACCUCUCAAAGAGAUCUUUUCCAAGGCAAGGCAAUGUGUAUUUUUACCCUGACUCCACAUUUAUUCUCUUAACGUUUGGAUGUCCAAUAUCCAAAAUCAAAUUCCUCUACAGGAAACAUCAUAAGAAGGAGUUUGUUUGGGCCACUUACAGAUUCAGGUUCAUGCUGCUGCAUCCAACAAGAACCCUGUGAGGGACACUCAACUACAAUAAAGCCACAGUCUUACAGGCCAUGGGUCAAGUGUGAAUAUCUCACUCCAAACAAAAUGCUCUCGGAAGCACUUGAGGCAUGGGUAUUCCCCAAAGCAGAUGCAUGCCGAACAUUGCCUCUACCCCAUCUUUGUUCACACGUGCAGACUCUGGUGCAAAGAAGAAACUAAGCCCAUACCAUGGUGCAUUCCCAGCAGCAGCAGAGACACUGAACCCUCAGAGACUUUCACCCUUGGGAGGCUAUAGUGUUGGGAGAGAGGGACUAAGGAGAUGGCUCGGUUGGUGCAGAAGAAAAGUGUGAAGACACAGUUUCAGAUACCAAGCAUACACAUAAAGAUCUUGGUGCUGGGAUGCAGAAUCAUGGGAACUCUUAUUUUCUCAUCUAGCUAAAUCUGUGAGCUUGAGUUUCAGUAAGAAAGAAUGUGUGUGUGUGUGUGUGUGUGAGAGAGAGAGAGAGAGAGAGAGACAGACAGACAGACAGACAGACAGACAGACAGACAGAGACAGAGACUCUACAGCAGUCACAGGCUUUCAUGCCUACUUAACCACCUUCAGAAAUGCACACACAUGUGUACAUUUAUCCCUCAAUACUGUAAGUAUACAAUCAUAUACACUCACACUUCCACAACCCCCCCCCACUAAUGUAUCAUAAUCAUAUCAACAGAGAAAGUAUCUCACAGUUACAGUAUAAUACUCUCAAUGAAUGAUUAAUUUCGGCUGUUUUAAAUAUUAGUGUUAGUAAUAAGACCGUAUUAUUAUUUUAGAUAAUUGUAUAGCCUAAGGGGAUGGUUCAAAGACCAGAGAGCCUAGACUGAAAAAGAAAACUUUUGUUUCUGAAGGAAAAUUCAUCUAUAUUGUUCUAUGCAGAUUUGGAUACAGGAAUAAGGGGAAAAUAUAUUGUGGAGCACCUGUUUCCCUGUGAGCUGCUCCUGUAGGUUAAUGAAGCAAAGAUAAACACCCAGCCAUCCCUGUGGGGUCAGCAUCAAUGAACCAUCCCCACAUAAAGGCAAGAGAAAGAGGGAAAGCCAAAUGAUGUUGUAAUUCUACCAAGAAAUCAGAUUCCCGCCUACAGGAGAAAUCAGCAGAAAAUCAUGAGUAGGAUGCUACCAGGUAUCACUGUUGAUUGCAAAGUUUCAGUGGGCUGAGGGUUUGGGAGAAAGUCAACAGCAAUGACCUGCCACUUCUCAAAAGCACAGAAGAGCCAACAAAGCCAGUUGAUAAGGUUUCAGAAUUGUGCCAGGGUUGGGGGUUCAGAGAGAGUCCAAAUUCAUCAAUUUUAUCCUUGAGGGCUAUGAUAGUGAGGGGCAGCCACCAUGUGCCAUCUUGCACACCCUGGUCAUUAAGUAUGACCCUUUCAACUUUCCAUAACUGUUGAGUAUCUGUCCAUAUCUUUUCAAGGAAGAAGGCUUUAUUUGUUUGCUUGUUUCUCUGUCUAUCUCCAUCACCAUCGCUGGUUUUAGACACUGGGAAGCUGCAGAGUACAGCUAAGUCUUUAUUUCCAUUGGAAUGGCAUGCAUGACAGAGGUCAUGGUGUCCUGUGCAUUCAGCUGUCCUGCUAAGGCAACAGUAAGAUGCUGGAUAGUGAAGCAACAGGAGAGAAAGGAGAAGAGGAGAAAGGAAAUCAAAGAAAUGAAGAACAUUAGCAAAAUGCUUCUCACUGCAUGAGCAAAGGUCUCUGAAGAGCAGGGAAGGGGUUAUGAGAAUCUCCUGGCUACAACAUGUGUCUGGUCCUCCAUGCCUCUCCAUUUCUUAAGGCUUCUUAUCAGAUUGGAGAAGUCUCAGGGAAUCCUAUUUUAAGCAUCGGGAACAACCAGGACCAAUCUCUGUCAGCGGAGUUCAGCAGAAGGUCUCUUUUUACAGUGCAAGGGAAGAGAAGAGAUACCCCUCCUUGUCACCCACCCCCAUCAGUUCCUUCCCUCUACAGAUGACCCUGCUGAGUGCAGCUGGCUUCUCUUGACACAUUAGGUUUUAUAUAAACCAAUGUAGGAUCCUUGUGAGUUCACUCAGCCCUACAGUUAUUAGAUAUUUCUCCUUCUUGGCAAGUUGAAAGUGAGAAGGAAGAGCAUGGGGGGAGGGGGCGCGGCGUGUGGCUUCUCAAGGCUUCCACUGCACCAGCCCACUCCUCCUGGGUGAGAUCCCACCACAGUAUCCACAGGGAUAUCAGAUGCAACUGCUGCUACCUUAAGUUUUACUGGCAAAAACCCUCAUCAUAUGCAGAGAUGUGUUUCAAAUAGUCUGCUCUCUUUUCUUUUCUUUUCUUUUCUUUUUCUUUCAUUUUUUUUAAGAUGGGCAACUAUAUAUUGUGUUUAUGAGGCAGAGAGAGGGCAAAACCCCAGCAGGAAGAUGAUUGGGUGCUGUCUAGAGUUCCCGCUGAGGAGCAAGAAGAGUAUAAUUGGGAUCCAUCUUUUCCCCCAAUACUUUCCUAUUGGCAUUUAUGUUGCAGCAAAGAGCUUUGAUGAGCCUAUCUUACUCAUAUGUCAAGCCUCAUGCUCUCCCUUCAGACCCUCUCCAGUGCCCCAGGUCAGGGUCUCUUAGUUUUCACUGAUAUCCACAGGGCCAACUUCUCCCUGUAUCUAUGAUGCAGUGUGUCUCUUGAGGGCCACCACUAUAUGGUAGUGAUGGGUGCAAUGAUCCUGUGCCUUUAGCUCAUCUGUUGCAGCAUCAACCUUGAGCUCACGACUGCUAUGUGAAAAGCAGGCUGUAUUUCCAUGUUGGCCAAAAAGUGGAAGGUGAGAAUUCUGAGACACCAGCAUCCCAAAUUCUCCUUCUCCUUCUCCUUCUCCUUCUCCUUCUCCUUCUCCUUCUCCUUCUCCUUCUCCUUCUCCUCCUCCUCCUCCUCCUCCUCCUCCUCCUCCUCCUCCUCCUCCUCCUCCUCCUCCUCCUUCUCCUUCUCCAUCUCCAUCUCCAUCUCCAUCUCCAUCUCCAUCUCCUUCUUAUCAUCACUGGGAAAGCUCCCUCAUAAAGGCAUUGGAUGUUUCGAGAGUACUUUAGAUCAUUGGUUUUCAACCUUCCUAAUGC